AUUGAACGCUAGCGGGAUGCCUUACACAUGCAAGUCGAACGGAGUGGGGAACGGGUGAGUAAUGUAACGGAACGUGCCCAGUAGCGGGGGAGAACGACGAGAAAGCGUAGCUAAUACCGCAUACUAGUGGAGCGGGCGAUAUCGGAUUAGCUAGUUGGUGGGGUAAAGGCUAACCAAGGCGACGAUCCGUAGCUGGUGUGGGAGGACGACCAGCCACCCUGGGACUGAGACACGGCCCAGACUCCUACGGGAGGCAGCAGUGGGGAAUAUUGGACAAUGGGGGAAACCCUGAUCCAGCCAUCCCGCGUGUGGGAUGAAGGCCUUCGGGUUGUAAAGCACUUUUGGCAGGAAAGCGGUACCUGCAGAAUAAGCACCGGCUAACUCCGUGCCAGCAGCCGCGGUAAUAC
rnacentral:rRNA from 1 species